UGAUAACUAAGUUAAAAGACGGAUUGUAUUCCAGAUUAAACCAGGUCGAAAAUAGUAAUACUUUGGCUAUGGCAUCAUUUUUGGAUCCGCGAUUCAAAUUGCUGGCAUUCCAACACAGUGGAAUAGCGGACAAUACAAAAAAACAGUUGACGAAGAAGAAGGAGAAUUUUCGAUAUGGGGACAUUUACAAAAUAGUAAAGAAAGUUCACUGCAACAACAUAAACAUAAUGCAACCAGUAAAUCCAUUAUCGAAGUGCAGCGUUAUUUAGAACUUGAUAUUUUGCCAAGACAGGAGGAUCCAUUAACAUUUUGGAGAGAGCAGCAUUUUAACUUCCCCAACCUAAGCGAACUUGUUAAGGAAAGACUCUGUGUUACUGCAACAUCGGUUCCAUGUGAAAGACUGUUUUCCAAAGCUGGCUUAAUAUUAACUAAGCGUAGAAAUAAAUUAAGUUCUAACAAAGCUGAAACACUUAUUUUUCUUAAUGCAAAUUUUUCAUUAGGAAAAAAGUAAGCUAUCUUUUGUUUUAUUAAUUUUAUUUAUUUAAAGAGUUUAAUUUUUUGUUUUUUCAUUAUGCGUUUUGGUUUUGCUUUAAAAAAGUUUUUUAUAUUGUUUUUGUAAUUUAUUACAAAUUACAAAUAAUGUUAUGUGUUCGAUUAAUAAAAAAUGUUUAUAUUUGAA